GACGAACGCUGGCGGCGUGCUUAACACGUGCAAGUCGAACGGUGAAGCGCCUUCCUUUUUGGUGGGUGUGGAUGAGUGGCGAACGGGUGAGUAACACGUGAGUAACCUGCCCCCUUCUUCUGGAUAACCGCAUGAAAGUGUGGCUAAUACGGGAUAUUCUGGGUCUGUCGCAUGAUGGGUCUGGGAAAGAUAUUGUUUCGGUGGGGGAUGGGCUCGCGGCCUAUCAGCUUGUUGGUGGGGUGAUGGCCUACCAAGGCGGUGACGGGUAGCCGGCCUGAGAGGGUGGACGGUCACACUGGGACUGAGACACGGCCCAGACUCCUACGGGAGGCAGCAGUGGGGAAUAUUGCACAAUGGGCGCAAGCCUGAUGCAGCGACGCCGCGUGAGGGAUGGAGGCCUGCGGGUUGUGAACCUCUUUCGCCAGUGAAGCAGGCCUGCCUCGUUUGUGGGUGGGUUGACGGUAGCUGGAUAAGAAGCGCCGGCUAACUACGUG
rnacentral:rRNA from 1 species